CCCUUGGCAGGGUCAGCUUGAGAAGCCACCCCCUGAGGAUGUGCCCCGCUGGGACCCCAAGAACCCCCUCUGUCCCGGGGCCACCCGGGCCAACGGCGAGGUUAACCCAAAGUACGAGGGUACUUUCGUCUUUCCAAAUGACUUCCCUGCACUCCAGCCUGAUGCUCCAGAACCUGAUGACAGUGAUCACCCCUUGUUUCGAGCUGCCCCAGCCCGGGGUGUGUGCAAGGUGAUGUGUUUCCACCCCUGGUCAGACCUGACGCUGCCUCUCAUGUCCCUGCCAGAGAUCCGGGCUGUCGUCGAUGCAUGGACAGAGCUGGCGACUGAACUGGGUGCUUCCUACCCCUGGGUGCAGAUCUUUGAGAACAAGGGAGCGAUGAUGGGCUGCUCCAACCCGCACCCCCACUGCCAGGUGUGGGCCAGCAGCUUCCUCCCGAACGAGGCGCGCCUGGAGGACCGGACCCAGCGCCAGCACCUGAGCCAGCACGGUGUGCCCAUGCUGCUGGAGUACGCUGAGCAGGAGGCUCGCCGAAAGGAGCGGCUGGUGGUGGAGAAUGCAGACUGGCUGGUUGUGGUGCCAUACUGGGCUACCUGGCCCUACCAGACCCUGCUGCUGCCCCGCCGCCACGUCUGUCGCCUCCAGGACCUCAGUGACAGUGAGAAGGACAGCCUGGCCUCCAUCAUGCAGAGGCUGCUCAUCAAGUACGACAACCUCUUUGAAGUCUCCUUCCCCUACUCCAUGGGCUGGCACGGAGCCCCCACAGGCCCCUACCUGGAGGAGGAGUGCAGGCACUGGCAGCUCCAUGCUCACUACUAUCCCCCGCUGCUGCGCUCCGCCACCGUCCGCAAGUUCAUGGUGGGAUAUGAGAUGCUGGCGCAGGCACAGAGGGACCUCACCCCAGAGCAGGCAGCUGAGCGCCUGAGGAGCCUCCCUGAGGUACACUACAAGAAGAGGACCGAGGAGGUGUGAUGGGGAGCAGCACAGCAUCCAGGCCUCGGAUGAGCCACCUACUUCCCUAGAGAGGCCAGAGGUGUUCUCAGAUUCUCCAUCCUGAAUGACUGACCCCAAUGCCACUGCUUUGCGUGGGAAGUGAUUCUCUACAGAUCAUAGUGGCAUCUUCUCGCAGCGUAUUCGAGCUGAUGCUCAGGAAGGAGCUCAGCAAUGCACAGUGAUGAACCUCAUCAUCAUCAUCAUCCUCAUCACCAGAUUGGCAAUGGGGCACAGCACACAAGGAGCUGCAGCCCAUGGACAGAUGCCUGGUGGAGGGAACAGUUUCUCAGCCCUGCCUGUCUCCUCAGGGCUCCCUGCCCUGAAAAGAGAGAGGGGUCCGCCCAUGAAAUGCCUCAUCCUGGGCCCAAGCGAGUAAACUUCAUGAUCAUCCUGCUACUUUGAGAAGCAGCAUCUCAGGGGUGUCUGCUGCAUUUCUACAAAUCUUAACACCUAAUCUUGGAAGGGAGGAACCCUAAUCUGAGAGACACGUGCUGGCCUGGAAAGUGCAUGAGCGCUAUUCCUGGCCACACUGCAAAGGAUGGUCUCCACGCCUCCAGCACCACAGAUAUCCUGACAAAGCUGCUCUCUGAGGACAGUGGCCACAUUUCAGAAAAGGUUAUGGACUCCUGAUCAAUAGCUGAAGACUCUCACUGCUCCACAUUAGGGCUGAGGUACGGGGGACUGUGGCUGGUUAGGUACAGAAAAGAGCUCUGGACUGCAUCAGAGGCAUCUAAGAUGUCAGAUUGUCUUUAAUCAUGAAAAUACAAAAGCAAGAAUGUAGUCUAACUACAUGGCUGUGCUGAAAUAAUAGCUCAUUUAGAAGGUGGAAUUUAAGCCUAAAAGCUAACAUUUUUGGUGUGUAUUUAUAACAGGCAGGCACACAGAACCUACCUACACUGCAUUUAAUUUCUUUCACAAGCUCCUUUGAUCCAGGCAUUACUGUCCGGGCAAAACUGGCACAAGCUCCUUUGCAGGCAUGACCAACCAUGCUGCUGUGAGCUGCCCAGCACUGGAACUGAGAGUGGAUUCAUUUUAAUUGAGUGUUUGGGCUAGCUACAGCAGCCAGAAAUCUUGCUUCAGCUUGUCACCAUGAGCUCAUUACCUCCAAAACCUAAAGCCUUGCCUACCUCACAGGGAUGGAAAAAUGGGGCACUUGCCAGGUGCCUGCAGCAGGUCUCAGCUACAGUGUGUUGGGGAGGACGAUGCUGGGAUGGGGUGGGGGGGACACCCAGUUUGACUGGGAUGGAGCCAGGAGGUGUUUGUGCAGCCUCUUGAAUGCCCAUAGGACAUGUGGAGUAAAAUCCCUGGAGAGAAGGGUGUGGAUUCUGGGUUUUCAGCACUGUUGUCACUCUAUUUGCCCCAGGGCAACCAGGAGGACCACAAGCUCUGGGAAACUCAGGAAUUCCUUCCCUUUGAAGGCAGGCAGAUGAUUGCUGGAGUCACUGGUCCUGCUCCAAACUCCUCCUGCACUGGCCUCCAGAGUACAGUUAUUUUUGCAAAGAAGGAGAGGCACUGCUAAAGGAUGGCCCAUUUUGAUCACAUCAGAGCCAAGCUGGACCACAGAUCCAUCUGGGAGGGAAGACAAACCCACUGCCUGGGCUCCUCCACUAGCACAUGCCUAGCACAUGCCCAGUAAAGCCUGCUCCCUCUCCCAAAUAAUACCUCAGCCUACCACAAGCUCUGGGAUUGUUGGAGUUCAAGUUGCAAGUGCUGACCACUCCUUGUACCAAUAGACAGUGAAGAAUGUAUGUACUCCCUCAGCACCUCCUCCAUGCCUUUAAGGACUAUUAUUUUCCCUGGCUGUACACAAUCUCUUUUCCAGGCAACAGUGUCCCACUUGACUAAUUCCUCCUGGUACUGAAGCUUUCCCAGACCUUGGGUUGUCCCUGGUUUGGGAUCUGGGAGAGCAGGAGCAUACACACUGUCCAUGUAUACAGAUUUAUGUUGUUACAUUUA